AGACAUCUCCUACGGGGGCAGCAGUGGGGAAUAUUGCGCAAUGGGCGAAAGCCUGACGCAGCGACGCCGCGUGAGGGAUGAAGGUCUUCGGAUCGUAAACCUCUGUCAGCAGGGAAGAACGGUCACUGUGCUAAUCAGCAGUGAAUUGACGGUACCUGCAAAGGAAGCACCGGCUAACUCCGUGCC
rnacentral:rRNA from 1 species